rnacentral:piRNA from 1 species
UGUCGGCAUCAAAUUUUCAUAUGCUACAA